rnacentral:rRNA from 1 species
GAUGAACGCUGGCGGCGUGCCUAAUGCAUGCAAGUCGAGCGAAUGGAUUAAGAGCUUGCUCUUAUGAAGUUAGCGGCGGACGGGUGAGUAACACGUGGGUAACCUGCCCAUAAGACUGGGAUAACUCCGGGAAACCGGGGCUAAUACCGGAUAACAUUUUGAACCGCAUGGUUCGAAAUUGAAAGGCGGCUUCGGCUGUCACUUAUGGAUGGACCCGCGUCGCAUUAGCUAGUUGGUGAGGUAACGGCUCACCAAGGCAACGAUGCGUAGCCGACCUGAGAGGGUGAUCGGCCACACUGGGACUGAGACACGGCCCAGACUCCUACGGGAGGCAGCAGUAGGGAAUCUUCCGCAAUGGACGAAAGUCUGACGGAGCAACGCCGCGUGAGUGAUGAAGGCUUUCGGGUCUUAAAACUCUGUUGUUAGGGAAGAACAAGUGCUAGUUGAAUAAGCUGGCACCUUGACGGUACCUAACCAGAAAGCCACGGCUAACUACGUGCCAGCCGCCGCGGUAA